UACAUUAGCUAUAUAUGUGUAUGAAUUCAUGGACAGCAUUGAGAAAACAGUUAAUGUAAUUGUUUGAUAAUGUAGCAAUCUGUUCAAUCACUACAAAAGAAAUACUUACAAGUUACACCCUAGAGGUUUUAUAAUAGAGGUCAACUCAACCCCACAAAUUACAUCAAAUUACGGAGGUUUGAUUAACCCCUAUAGUAUUAGUAGAAUUUGUGGGGUUAUUACCUCCGUAAUCCUAAAAAAUAAAAUUCUACGAUAUCGUUGCUCAUUUAAUCCCCAAAUAAAAGAAAGUUCGAUUCUAUUUUCUCUAUCAGUUUUCAUAUGAUAAUUAGGGUUGGAGUAGGAAGAGAUGGAGGCGGCACGGUAACGAAUUCAUGGUGGCGGAGCUAUCACUGUCUUCAUCCACAAUGGCAGUGGUCGGAGUAGGAAAAGAUGGAGGCGGCGGUAUCGUUGGUUCAUACUUCUCUUCUCCUCUCUUACUUCCCAAUUUCUCUCUAUUUAACAAUUGCGCCCUAAUUUAGAUAUCGAAAGCUUCAAAAAUGAGUUCUCCUUUCCUCAUUUUCAUGCAUUUUCAAUACAUAAAUCAACUGAGUUUUUUUUUCUCAACUUCAAAUUGUUUGUAAAAAGUUUUGAGAUUUAUAUUGAAUCUAUUAUUUUUUUCCAGAAAAUCUGCAAUAGAAAUUCAUCUUCGCCGAUUUCGGAGUAAAAGAAUGCUCCAAUAGGCUCGCUGCCAUACGUCCUGCACCAUGGAGAAGCUUCGGCUCUUUCUAAGCCAGGAGAUGCUUAGUGACAGUAAUCCUAGCGAAACCCGCUGAAGUUUCAUGAACUGUUGCAGAUCCUAUCUUGAGUUUGGAUGCUAGCGAUUUGAAGUUUGAGCAAGUUUUUUUAGUGAUUUGAAGUUCAAGCAUAUGAUUUGAAGUUUCUUGUAAUUGUAAUGGUUGAAGUGAAUGACAUUUUGAUUUAGUUUCUAAAACUAUAGUACACUUUAUUAUAUAUUUUUGUAUUGAAAUAUUGUGUUAUUUCUUAUACUAAUAUGCCCUUUUAGGUUUGA